AAUAAUCAAACGAACAAAACUAAUGUGGGUAAUGUCCAAAUAGAUUUAAACGAGACAACUCUAAUUUUGACAUAAGACAGUUUUAUCAGUUUGCUAUGUCGUUCCGGUUAAAUUUGGGGUUUUACUUAAAACACACAUCUCUCUCUGUUAUUUUUAUUCAUUAGCAUUUCUAAUUUCUAUUUAUGGAUAAGAUUAUAAUGACAAACGAUAGAUUUAGAAAAAUCAUUUUUUUCAGAUGAUCUAGAAAUCUAAUUCGAAUGGCUAGGAACUAGCAAUUACACUAUUUCGGUUACCUACGAACAAUGAACAUGAUCGCAAAUUAGUUUAUAAAUCACAUUCAAAUGGAUAGGAACUGGCAAUUACACAAUUAGAGCUUACUAUCAAGUAUGAACAAGAUGUCAAAAUUAGGUUACGCUCGCAAUUAUUUCAAUCAAAAAAUGGAAAGCAAAAAAAAUAAAAAUAGAGAAGAUAGAGAGAGGCCUUAGGUUAAUGAAGGAGUUUGCUGGAAUAGAAAAAAAAGGUUAAUGAUGAUCAACGAGGAAGACAAGAUUAGCAUUUGCAGUAUCUCUUN
rnacentral:lncRNA from 1 species